CUUGUGUUAUUCAUUAGUCUAUUUGAGUAUAUUGUUAACUCUAAUAUACAUAUGUAAAUAAAUAGAAUUCAUAAAUUGAAUUUUUUUUAAAAAUUUUUAAACAAUCAAAAGCUUUAUUUUCAGCAAAAAAUAAACGCAAUAAAAUUGAUUCUUAUGUCAAGUAUUUUUUUCUACUGAUCACCUAACUGAAAAAUGCCAGCAGAAUUUCAUUUUUAUUACCGACAUUCCCAUUUUUUACUGGUCCCAAGGCAUCAAUAAAAAAGUUAAAGAUGAAUUCAACAUCAAAGAGCAGCUAUAAACGCUAAUCAGUAAAACAUUUCAGAUCCCUCCUGUUUCAAUUUUUGCGGAUGGAUUUUAUUGAUAGCCUUUGCUUACCGGCUUUGUAACCAAAAUUUUAAACAUGUUACUAAACAUGUUACUUAUUACUUUGUACUCGAUGUCUCGGAUUUUUAUUUCUGUUGCAGUAAAAUAAUAAGGCUUUUUUACAUUCUAUUUGAUUGGCGUAAGAUAAUAUGUGCAAUUGAAUUACCGGUCAAAAGAAAAACAAAUAUUUACCGAGUGCAUGUUAAUGAGAUAUCCUGUUCUGCAAAUACAGUCAUUUAUUCUUUUAUAUCCAUAUCUAAGGUCGUUGGAACAACAAAUAAAAUGCAAUUGCAUGCGGAGAAUAUAGAUUCUGGACCACAACCAGAUCCAAAAACACUCUUAUAAAGAUA